UAACAGUCACUAGGAGCAGUGUGUGUGUGUGUGUGUGUGAAUGUGUUCUCUAUAUAAAGGACACUGGCAGGGGGGUGCUACCCUGCAGUGGAGCUCGAGUGUCAGAGAGAGCCAGAAGCAGCAGCUGAAAAGAGCGAGAGAGAGACAUAGAAUAGAGUCCGAGAGAGAGGUGGAAGACUGCUGUUUCGUUUUCUGCCUGCACCCCACCUACUCCAGUCAUGGCCAGGAAUCUGCUGAAGAACCCAGCUGGGGAAGUGCUUUCAGAGGAGGCCUCAGACUGUUGAGAUGGUGUCUGCAGAGAGGGACUCAACACUUCCCUCCCAGAUCAGAUGGAAUUCUGGGAGCUGACAGAGAACAUAGGGAGUCAAUGGCAGGUGGAGUAGUUGCCAGGAGACUAGCCACUAUUUCGGUGACGAUGGAGUGACCAAAUACUUCAGCACCUUCUGCGAGUGAG